GAUGAAGAACGUAGCGAAAUGCGAUAAGUAGUGUGAAUUGCAGAAUUCAGUGAAUCAUCGAAUCUUUGAACGCACAUUGCGCCCCUCGGAAUUCCGUGGGGCAUGCCUGUUCGAGCGUCAUUUAACCCCUCAAGCCUAGCUUGGUAUUGGGUGCUUGUCCCGCCUCUCGCGCGGCGACUCACCUCAAAGUCAUUGGCAGCCCGCAUCUCGCCGGCCGUGAGCGCAGCACAGACGCGCUCUUGGCAACGACGGAUCGGCUCUCCAAAAGCUUAUUUCAACCACUGACCUCGGAUCAGGUAGGGAUACCCGCUGAACUUAAGCAUAUCAAUAAGCGGAGGA
rnacentral:misc_RNA from 1 species